AUUGAACGCUGGCGGCAGGCCUAACACAUGCAAGUCGAGCGGAGCGGCGGACGGGUGCGUAAUGCCUAGGAAUCUGCCUGGUCCUGGGGGAUAACGUCCGGUAACGGGCGCUAAUACCGCAUACUAUCAGAUUAGCCUAGGUCGGAUUAGCUAGUUGGUGGGGUAAAGGCCUACCAAGGCGACGAGCCGUAACUGGUCCGAGAGGAGGAUCAGUCACACUGGAACUGAGACACGGUCCAGACUCCUACGGGAGGAAGCAGUGGGGAAUAUUGGACAAUGGGCGAAAGCCUGAUCCAGCCAUGCCGCGUGUGUGAAGAAGGUCUUCGGAUUGUAAAGCACUUUAAGUUGGGAGGCGUUACCAGCAGAAGAAGCACCGGCUAACUUCGUGCCAGCCGCCGCGGUAAUUC
rnacentral:rRNA from 1 species